rnacentral:rRNA from 2 species
CUCAGGAUGAACGCCGGCGGUGUGCCUAAUACAUGCAAGUCGAACGCGUUGGNCCAAUUGAUUGAUGGUGCUUGCACCUGAUUGAUUUUGGUNGCCAACGAGUGGCGGACGGGUGAGUAACACGUAGGUAACCUGCCCAGAAGCGGGGGACAACAUUUGGAAACAGAUGCUAAUACCGCAUAACANCGUUGUUCGCAUGAACAACGCUUAAAAGAUGGCUUCUCGCUAUCACUUCUGGAUGGACCUGCGGUGCAUUAGCUUGUUGGUGGGGUAACGGCCUACCAAGGCGAUGAUGCAUAGCCGAGUUGAGAGACUGAUCGGCCACAAUGGGACUGAGACACGGCCCAUACUCCUACGGGAGGCAGCAGUAGGGAAUCUUCCACAAUGGGCGCAAGCCUGAUGGAGCAACACCGCGUGAGUGAAGAAGGGUUUCGGCUCGUAAAGCUCUGUUGUUAAAGAAGAACACGUAUGAGAGUAACUGUUCAUACGUUGACGGUAUUUAACCAGAAAGUCACGGCUAACUACGUGCCAGCAGCCGCGGUAAUACGUAGGUGGCAAGCGUUAUCCGGAUUUAUUGGGCGUAAAGAGAGUGCAGGCGGUUUUCUAAGUCUGAUGUGAAAGCCUUCGGCUUAACCGGAGAAGUGCAUCGGAAACUGGAUAACUUGAGUGCAGAAGAGGGUAGUGGAACUCCAUGUGUAGCGGUGGAAUGCGUAGAUAUAUGGAAGAACACCAGUGGCGAAGGCGGCUACCUGGUCUGCAACUGACGCUGAGACUCGAAAGCAUGGGUAGCGAACAGGAUUAGAUACCCUGGUAGUCCAUGCCGUAAACGAUGAGUGCUAGGUGUUGGAGGGUUUCCGCCCUUCAGUGCCGGAGCUAACGCAUUAAGCACUCCGCCUGGGGAGUACGACCGCAAGGUUGAAACUCAAAGGAAUUGACGGGGGCCCGCACAAGCGGUGGAGCAUGUGGUUUAAUUCGAAGCUACGCGAAGAACCUUACCAGGUCUUGACAUCUUGCGCCAACCCUAGAGAUAGGGCGUUUCCUUCGGGAACGCAAUGACAGGUGGUGCAUGGUCGUCGUCAGCUCGUGUCGUGAGAUGUUGGGUUAAGUCCCGCAACGAGCGCAACCCUUGUUACUAGUUGCCAGCAUUAAGUUGGGCACUCUAGUGAGACUGCCGGUGACAAACCGGAGGAAGGUGGGGACGACGUCAGAUCAUCAUGCCCCUUAUGACCUGGGCUACACACGUGCUACAAUGGACGGUACAACGAGUCGCGAACUCGCGAGGGCAAGCAAAUCUCUUAAAACCGUUCUCAGUUCGGACUGCAGGCUGCAACUCGCCUGCACGAAGUCGGAAUCGCUAGUAAUCGCGGAUCAGCAUGCCGCGGUGAAUACGUUCCCGGGCCUUGUACACACCGCCCGUCACACCAUGAGAGUUUGUAACACCCAAAGUCGGUGGGGUAAC